rnacentral:tRNA from 1 species
GCGGACGUAGCUCAAUUGGUAGAGCAAUCUCCUUCGCUCGCUCUUCGCCCGCUCCCACGGGCCGUUGAACGAGGGUUAUCGAUUUUCACUCGAAGGAUGCCGGUUCGAAUCCGGUCGUCUGCA